rnacentral:lncRNA from 1 species
UUAAAUUUGUAAACUUGUAAAUAAAUAUAAAUUUAUGAAUAGUAUAAUAUAUAAAAGUUCAAUUAAUACUUAUUUUUGCAAAUUAGAAGAAAUUUAAAAAAAAAGUAACAUAGUACAUAUUGUUAUUUAAUGAGACUGCAAAUUGUCGUCUUCACAAGUGUGCAGAAGACAAUUUGCAGUUUGAUAUUGUGAGACUAUGUACACUAGCAUGGCAAGAGUUGGCAGAAGCACUAAUGCUGCUACAGUUAGUACACUCUUGCCUCAUGUAGUAUAGAUAACUAGUAAUACAAACCUGUAUCCAAAAUAUUGUGAUAUGGCUCAAUGUAAAAAAGUAAUUGAAUAUAUAGAUGUUUCCGGUUAUUGUAAUAUUCUAUAACUUCCUUUAUUAUAUCAUACCAUUAAUUGAAAAAACAAAAUAUAUUUUAAUAUUUUUCCUUAAUACAAUGUUCAAUUACAUAAACUUUGAUUUAAAUACAGGGUCCCCUCAAGUGUGGGGCCCAGUUGGGUGCAGUUGGUCCAAUCGGCUUAUAUCUGGCACUGCAUGGAGGUUAAUAAUGCAAAGCAAGUGCUGUAUUCACUAUAAUAUGAAAAAAUUUUUCUUCUUAGAAUUGGGUCAAUCAUAUUAAAUCAAAACAAGUUGUGUAGAAAGAGAAUGAAAUUUUUAUUCUAAUUCAUGUUAAAUCAAAAUUAUGUAAAUAAAAUUCUUGUAAAAACA